CCUACGGGUGGCAGCAGUGGGGAAUAUUGGACAAUGGGGGGAACCCUGAUCCAGCCAUGCCGCGUGUGUGAAGAAGGCCCUCGGGUUGUAAAGCACUUUCAGUGAGGAAGAACGCCUGGUGGUUAAUACCCAUCAGGAAAGACAUCACUCACAGAAGAAGCACCGGCUAACUCCGUGCCAGCAGCCGCGGUAAUACGGAGGGUGCGAGCGUUAAUCGGAAUUACUGGGCGUAAAGCGCGCGUAGGUGGCUUGAUAAGCCGGUUGUGAAAGCCCCGGGCUCAACCUGGGAACGGCAUCCGGAACUGUCAAGCUAGAGUGCAGGAGAGGAAGGUAGAAUUCCCGGUGUAGCGGUGAAAUGCGUAGAGAUCGGGAGGAAUACCAGUGGCGAAGGCGGCCUUCUGGACUGACACUGACACUGAGGUGCCAAAGCGUGGGUAGCAAACAGGAUGAGAUACCCUAGUAGUC
rnacentral:rRNA from 1 species